AUUACAUCAAGGUCUGUAACAAAAACAGGUACCUCCAUUACAUCUGAGGACUGAAAAAAAUGCAAACUUCUUGAAGCUAUAAAUCUUAUCAUCUCCUCACACUCCAUAUUUUUUCAAAGGAAAGUCAGCCGUUCUGUCACCAGGACAGACAGGAUCUUAAAAUUGGGACAUAAAGAACAAGCAGAAUUGAAGAUAAAGAAAAAAAUAAUCGGGAUGGUCUCAAAACAUCUCUCUCACUUCAGCUGUUCUUCAAACAGCACUAAGUAGGAUCUGGCUGACAGCAUUUAUUCCCUUGAAGGUCAGCUUUGAAAGAAAGAGCUACUGUAGCUACCUCAAAAGACUGUGAAGCUUUUUUUUUCCCAGUGGAGGAGGGAGCCUGAGCUCUGGAAGCAGGCAGCAGGAAGAGACAGGCGGGUGCUCCCCAGGGAGAUGCUCCCAUGGAAAUACAGCUCUCCCCAACCUGGGGUCCCGCUGCUCGGGCUGCUGCGGGUCCUGAUCUGCAGGGCCCAGAGAGGGGAAUGCAGGAAAGAAAGAUGACAGAGUUUCCAUGGUGAGUCACCUCCCUCUCAGAGCCUCUCCUGUUUGACAGUGUUGAGCCAGCAAACAGUGACUUUCCGUGGCAAAAUGCCUGAGUGAGGAGAUUAGGCUGCCUUUGUUUAGGGCUGUUUCAUUUAUUAGGUCACGAGGUUCCUGAAGUCAUCGUGGGACUGUUUGGAAACAGCAACACGCGAGGCCAGAGAAGGUUCCUUUGCAAAUAUACAGCAUUUGCACUUGGUUACUUCUAACUGAAAGGGGAUUUACAGCAUCAGCAAAGUGAAAAAUCACACAGUACCUACAGACAGCUCUGCCAAGUGACAUCUGGACUUAGUGAUUUAACUGUUAUCAGGGUGCUUGCAUUUGAAACAACCCUGGUCCUCUUGAUCAGGUAAGGCAGAACUGGAGAGGGCCACACAGUACUGCUUUGGAAAAGUUGUGCUAAUUAUCAGGAGUUGCUCUUUUUUUUUUUAUUUGCAAUCAGAUUUUCUGCUUCUGUAAUUCCAUUCUUUUUAUGGCAUUUAUGAGUCAAUUGCAAGACUUUUAUUUGCAUGCUGUAACAGUAUGGUUAGCAUGGCCCUAGGUGGAAGAUACUAAGUUGUUAACCAGGCUUCCAGUACUCAGCAACGGAAACCCACAAAAAAUAUGCAAACUAAACUGCAAACAGGACUGGCAGAGACCACAGUUUGGGGGGGAAAAAAAAAAGCUAUCUCCACCCUCUUUUGUUAAGUUCUGACAUAUCUGCCACCAGACUGAAUCGAAAGGGGAGGCUCAGUCUGAAUUGUUUUGUGGAAAGCUGCAAUGACACAAAUGGAAGUGCCUUCUCACAAUGCAUCGCUGUGCUGGAAAUUCAACUGCUGUGUCAACUUCAAAAACCAGUAUUGUAAAUUCAUUCAGAAAGGGACUCACCAAAUUAAUGGAGACAGAUCAAUCAGGAGCUAUUAACCACAGCAGCCUUAGGUGCACACUUUUUUUGCCAAAAGUGGACAAGUUAUCUCAAAGGAAAAAUCACACUAUGGAUCUUUCAUUCCUCAAGCUGUUUCCUACUCAUCUGUCACUGGCCACUGUAGGAACAGGACACAAAAUUCAGUCAAUAUUUUAACCAAGUCAGUAGGACACCUUUGCUGUCAGCCUCAAGUUUAAAAUAAGCAUGGUUGGGAAUACAGUAUGUGCCAAAGGAAGGCAAACAGCAGAGCUACUGGCUCCCAAGUGAGCAGAAAUGUAGCUUUCUGCAUGGAAUGCUCCAAGUAAUAAAGUAUCUCUAAGAAAUAAAGUAUCAUUCAGUAAUGAAACUACUGCAUUUGGGGGAAAUUUGGGGUUUUUUAACUGCCUCCAGAGAAUAAAAAAGUCCUGGAUUUUACCACAUGGAGACAAGUAAAACAAUAUCCCCUUUUACUGACAUUUGAGUCUACAGAACACAAGUUCCUAUCAGCCCAGUUCAGUGUUAUAUUUACAUAUAAUUAAUUUUUCCUACUUGUACCGCAACUCAUCGUAAUAGAUAAGAAUUAACAAAUAUGUUGAUAAGUAUUUUUAUCCUGCUCUGAAGGGAGAACAACAGUCACAUCAAGCUGCACUCUGAAAACAACUAUCAGCAUUUUAAAAAACAUCCACCGUGGUUUAUGAGUUACCUUUCUAAUCCAGGCAGCUACAGAGAACUGCUCCAACUGUGGUAUUUCCAGCUUUGGACUGUGGCAAGGCACAAGAACAAUUUCUGCAGCAGUUAUUUUCCUCUUGAACAUCUCAUGCCACUAGAUAAAAGAAAUAAGCUCUCUCAAGGAAUCCCUGCAAAAGCCAGCCCAUGCCACAACCCCCUGCAGCAGAAGCCCAUUGAUUUUUCCACACGUGUUAAGUCCUUCUUGCUGGGGCAGACAGGAACAGCUUUAGAGGAAAACAUAGUGGAGGUGUUUUUAGGUGACCCUAAACACGGAAAACACAAUACCAGCUGUUGGGGAAUGGCAAGGCACUGCUGGUUUGCGUGUCUCUUUUUACUGGAGCUCCAUUUGGGAUACGCUGCCUGCUGCUGUCUUGCCAAGUGUCUCCUUCCACGUGUGCUCACCACUUGAAGUUUUUACAGAACCAUCUUACUGCUGCUUGAGGGCAGAUGGCAGCUGGAGGCCUGCACCUGGAAAAUGUGCAAGUAUUUGAGUCAGCAUCCAAUCAUUUCAGCCAGGAAGGAAGUGGGAACAGGCCCAGCUGUCAAACCUUUCCAGAGCCUAUCUGGAAGAAAAAACACACACCUGGUGAAGCUCCCAAACACUCUGUGUGUGUGAUCUGCAGCCUGCUGCAGGGAAAUGUGUGGCCACGUGCCCUCAGCAGAACAGCCUUGCACAAAACAGAGAAAAGAGGAUGCCUAAAAGCCAGGAAUGGCACAGGACUGGGGAGUUUGCAGCCUGGGUAGACUGGAGCUGUUCUUACCUGUGCCUCUGGAAACCAUCUCCCUAAGGGAGCACAUCAUCCUGCUGGAUCUUCCUAAUAUUGGCCUGUUCUUUGUCACUGAGGAGUUCCUUUUUCCAGGGCAAAAAUUCCUAAACCACACAUUCCUUUCCCUGACUCUUCCUAGAGUCUCUGCAGCAAAAUCUAGACCACGAUAGAUUGUCCCCAUUUUGCUUAAAACAAAGCAAAAAAGCAACUUGCUGAAAAGGAAAAAAACCCCAAACCAACAAAGUUUUUUAAAUUGUGACUGUUUUCUGAUGGAGAAGGAAGACUUGCUCACCAUAUGAUGAUCGACAAGUCUCGUCUUUAUUCCCAAAUCACCGAUUAUUAUACACCUUUUAAUUAGCUCAUGCAUAGUGCAAAAUCCCAGCUCACCAUUGGCUAACUAGCUAUCAGCUAACUACGUGCUGUUUUUGGUAUAACUAUUCCACUUUCCCAGGCUAUUUGCUCCACCACCUGUGUUUGUGCAUUACUUCAUCCGUGGGCCAAGGACACAGUUUAAUUGGGAUAGCAACUCCCUUCAUCCCUUAUCUUGGUCAAAUUAAUCUCACUGUGAGCUUUAGCUGGGAGCUAGCUUGUUACAAAGCUCUCAACAGUUUUCUCCAUGGGUAACAAUGUGGCCUGCAAAACAAGAACUCAGCCCUCAGUGUUCACUGAAAUUUGUAAAAAAGCCCAAACUACUAGGUUUCACUAGAUGACCAAAACAAAAGAUUUAAGUAGCAGCUUAUCUGAUUUGUUUCCCUUUCUAGGGAAAGGAAAAUUUGAAGAAGGCCUCAAACUCAAUUGAAUUACUUUUCAGUAAAACAUCACAGAGAUAGAAGAAAAGUAGGGAAGACCCGUGAUUGCAUUUUCUACCCCAGCAUUCCCCACAGACAUGAAGACCAGGACAGACAUUGGCAGACUAUCAGGAAGUGACAGAAACUUUUCUCUGCCUUUCUUCCUUUCAUGCCACCCCAGAGCCUUCUGCUAACACCUGAGCUGAACAUUGGACCAGUGCUAUGGCAAACUCCAUCCAGGGAGCAGAAGUCUUUCUUUUCUUGUCUGGUUGAUGUUUACACAGGGACUUUGCUGCACAGAGUCCAAACAAGCUUAUUUUCUUCCCCUUUUUGUCUUCUGCAGUUAAAAGGCCUUUACAGUCAAUUGUCCCAAGGGAGAGCUCAGACUACAAAGUGGAAAAUAUGAACUGCCCUGUCCAACAAAGCUCUUUCAGAAACUCUGAUUUCUGCCCGCUGUAGUAAGGGAGCAGCAUGGGGUGAACUGGGAAGACCAAGACCACUGUAUUAAGAAAAGCAACCAACAGAACUGAUACAUGCACAGCAGUCACCUCACAGAGCAGUUGCAAAGGAGGAAUUAGAACGUUUAGGACAAAACCUACAGAUUUGAACAGCAUUGUGGGUUGACCAUUCCAGAUCCAGGAGAAGCUGUUUCAGUGCCCCAGGAAAUCAGUUGCUUUUGAGUAAUUGUUUCACUGCCCUCUGGCACAUUCCUGUGAGGGUGCUCCUCGAUCUGCUUGCUGCUGGCCACCCCCUCUCCACUGAGAGAUAAACUGAAAGAAUGCCUUUACUAUCUGCAGUCUCCAUUUUAAGGUUAUGGCUCAGCUUUGGGAAAAAACUCCUCAAACCAACCCUUAAUACAUGCACUAGGCAGCUAGGAAUCUCUUCUCUCUUCUACUCCAAACAAACCAACCCAGCUGCAGCCAGCAUGCAGGUGCAUUAACCAGCAUGGUGCCCCAGAACUGCUAGAAAAUGUUAGCACUCCAAUAACAGCUAUACAUAUACAAAAUAGUUAAGGGUAUCAAGAAUGGUUACCACUGAGCACAGCUCAGCAAUGCUGCAGAAAUCCUCAGCACCUGUUAUAAAAUGGCAAAAAUAAAACCUCUGAAAAUUGACACAACACAUGGAAGAAACCAGGAUUUUGAGACAGAAGUAUUCUCAAAUGUAGUUAAGGCCAGUACAAACCUCCUUACGAAGUCUGGACCCAGGACUGCAAGACACAGCACUUGGCAACAGGACAGCCAGCAAAUGAUCUCACUGCAAACACCUCACACUGCCAGUGCAUUUUAUUCCCUUGCUGACACAUGCCAAUUCUGCUGCAAAUUCCUUUAGGGAACAGGAAAGCAGACCUAAGCCACAGUUCAAGCUUAUCUGUAUUAAAACAAAGGCAUAGCUACACUCCAUCAUUUCCAAGAAGCUGAUUCUCUCUUGUUCAAACCUAGAAAAGCUCUAAGACUAAAGCCAAGAAGUAGGACUGAAUUGCCUCAAGGUAUUUUAAGUAGAGAUGACCCCAAACCAUCAUCCUUCUAGUUGUAGCCUCAAAAGCACAGAGGAGGAAAGGUUGGUUGGCUUGUAUUCAAUCCAGAAUUAAUCCCAUUCUGGCAGAACACCUAGAGUUUCACAGGAAUACCCAUCUAGAAAGUCACAAAGGGGCAGGGUUAGUGCAAACCAGCAAGUGCACAGAAGCAGGAGCAUGUUUGUACACCACAGGAGUGCAGCUGGAGGAGAUCAUGUUGCAGAGCGGAAGUUAAAACCUCAUCUCUCAGUCCCAGAGAUUACUGGAGAUAACAGAGCACCCGCAGCACAAGCUCAGAGGAGAGAAGCAGCUCCUAGCUGAGAGCUGCCUCAGUGUCCCCUCAGCAAUGCCAUUGCUCCUGCUGCUGUCAGACAGCUGUGCACAGCUGUGCAGAGACAGCUGGACACCACUGCCUCUACCGAGAAACAAUGGCCAAGGAAAGGCAUCAAAUCCAUUACAAAACCUAAUUCCUCCCCUUGUAUCACUGUCACAUUCUGCACAAAUGUGAAAGAAUCACCUAUUGCUUAAGAAGUCAUCCAUAUCCAAACAAUGGUUUUUGCAGCACAUUGCUCAGUUAUUGCUGUUACAGCCCCCACAAAACACUGGCAAAGCAAAGUUUGAUGAAGACAAAACGAGACAUUCAUGUGGCCUUGGCACCCUCACAAACUUUAAAUAACACUGAGGGUUAGAGGCUACUGUAGCCAUAAUUAAAGGAAUACCAGAAACUUGAAGGGGGAAUGUACCUUAAAAUUCCAUAAAACUGUCAGUGCUUGAAUCCAGUUGCCAAUUUUUAUUUCUCCCCAACUGACUUUUGAAAAACCUUCCUGGCCUGAGGCAGAAAAAAAUAAAGAAUGAUCAAACCUCAGUUCUGCCCUUGAUGCCCACCUCCCCCUGACCCCCCCAGCUGGUGGGUACAGGGACUUCUACCACUGAGGCAAUAAACACUUAUGGGACUUUUCUAAGUUUUUUUCUUUUUUUACCCAAACAACCUGGGAUGUAUCUGUCCCCACAUGUCAGCCUGCAAAUUUCUCCCUUGCUUUUUGGGAAUGUACUGAAAGAUGAAAUUUCCACAUCCAAGGAAACUUUGAAGCAGCAUCUCCACCUCUGGACUUUGGUAGUCACCAUUUCCUCGCUGUGCAAGAGCACUCCCACUUCAAACACACAAUAUGAACAUGUAGUGAGGUCAAUUUACAGCCAAGUCAAACAUCUACUCUUGGAUCAGAAAACCUCUCUGGCACUCGAGUGCACAGCUCUCAGUGAUACACCUACAGAGAGGUUUUUUCUGGUGCUGAAGCCCCCAGUGGACAGCACAGGCAGACCAAAGCCCGACUUCCCGGCGCUGUCUCCAGCUGUUUGAUGUCACUGCAGUGGCACAACAGGGGCUCCCAUUAAGGGUCCAGCUGCACUUUGCUGAUGGUUGAUCCACUACACCGUAUUUAGUCUACUCCUUCCUACGGAGAAACUGUGGUAAACAAGGGAAGAGCCGUGAUUUGGCAAUCACAGUGUUACAGUGUUGCAAUCACUGCUGUUAACACCAGCUCUGUGCAGAACAAGGCUGAUGUGUGGGUGAGCUGCAGGAGCCUCAGCGACACACAAGCUGCAAACUGAAGAGAGAACACAGGUUCCAAAGUGGUUCCACACUCAUAUAUGUUUGAGCUGCAUUUCUCUACAUCCCAUACAGAGUCAAGAAGCUGAGACAUUAGUUCCUCAGAAACUUUAUUUUCAUUCAAACUACAGAAAUAAAGUAGUACCUUCCAAUUUCCCAUUAUAUUUUCUACGUAUCUGUACGGCUCAGGGCGAGAUGCACUAGGAUAAACUACCCUGUACAUGUGGAGGAAGAUAAGGCUCAAAAACUAGCUUUACUUCAAAGAAUGCCAAACCUGAACUAUGAGGUUGGCUCCAACUCUUUGAUAACAAUAAUAGGCACAACAUAGGAAAAAAGAUUGAUCUAAACUACCUAUUGUAAGCAAAAUCCAGUAAUUCAUUACAGAAAGUCAAAGAAACCUUUUAGAAAUAACAAAACAGUUUUCUACCUUGAAAAAAUAGAUGAGUAAUUUUUGCUUUAUAUACGAUAUAUUCACACACACUUUCAAGUAUCAUUUUCACUAUUAUCAUACUUACAUGGCUAGAGAUAAAAAAAUGAAACCCCAUAAGCAGAUUAUUAUGCCAAAGUCACACACGGUCUUUAUCUGGGUUUAGCAACACCUGGAAUUCUCCAUGGUAUCACAGUGACUAAAAAAGCAGUGACUAGACUCAGUGUAAUUUUUCCCUUUAUUAAACAUGUUUUAGUAAGGCUUGAAAAGCAUCAGGAUUUAGAAAAAUGGAGACAAGAAAAGCAUAGGCAGUCAUAAACCCCACGCAGUCAUAAACCCCACAAAUUCACAGCUAAGCUUGUCACACGCUCAGUACUAGCAGGGAAUAAAAAAAAAAAUCUGAGUUGUUUGGUUAGCAGGCAAACUGAUACCAACAGGCAGACUUCAGCUAGGAUGUUUUUACAUUUAAGGCAUCACACAAAAUAACAAGUUAACGCUGGGAAGCAUAACAACCAUCAUGUGCACAGCCAUAAUUCACAUUUAGCUCUGGACAUCAGAACCUGCUUUAUUUCAAAACAGAAAGGCUAGGAGGGAAUCCCAUAGUCUUUUGGGAAAGUGCCAGACAGCCACUAGGCAAGAGGAAGAGUGACUGUGGUUGUUAUCACAGGGGAAGGAAUUUAAGUGCUUAUUAAAGGCUUUGCUGCAGUGCCAGAGCCAGACACCUGAACACAAAUUCUGGCAGAAUACAAAACUUUUAAGACCUACAAGACAGAAAAUCUGUUCAAGCAGCUGCAGCGAAUGUGUCCCACAAGAUCAGAAAUGGCAAGCCUUUGGGACUGAACAGCUCCUGGAGCUCAGCAGCGAUGAUGGAGGUGCAGCAGGUGCCUUCCACAGGCCUGGUUCCACACUGCUUGCCAAUGCACUCUACACUUCCACCCUCCAAAGAAAUUAGAUGGACAGGUAUGAAAUGCCUCACAAUGAAAUAGUUAUACCUAUCUCCUUCCUGGUCAUGUCAUUUCCAUUUGUCUAUUUCUUGCCCAAUGGGAAAAGGCACAAAUUCUACAUUUAAAAAGAGUUAUUUUAAGACCUAAGUAAAACCCUUUUUUUUUCCACACAAAAAAAUUUGCAGAAACCACUGACUGUUUUUAAGAGGGCAAAGUCAUCUAAAAGUUAAGUACCAGGCAGCCUGAAAGCUCUAUGGUUUUAACUAUCAAGCUUAACUGUCUGGUAGAGUACUUGAGUAGAGCAUGUUCUUAAAAACUAGUUUUAAAACCAUCAGGCCACGACUCAAAAAUUAAGCUUGUUGGAAACAUGAGAGGUCACAUAUCAAAGGGAAGAUCCAUGACACUUCCAGAGACUGAAAUGCAAAGUUUUAGUUUUGUUUGUUUGGGGUUUUUUUUUGCAUUUAGUGAAAAAGUCCCAGAAUGGAGGCCAGAAUACUUUCUCCAAGCAAUUUAGUAAGAAAGGAUUCCACUAGGUAGGAUGGAAGCUUUGAGCUCACUCCAAGCUUGGCUAAAAGCCACUACUUCCAAGUUUCCAGAAUUUGGGUAGCAUUGGAAUAAAGUUUCCUGAGCUAGAGACAACUUGAUAGACAAGACAGUGACAGUGCAGCAGGACAAACAGAAGUGACAAUGAAAAGCAUUGCACAGUCCAAGACUUAACGUUAUACCCAGAAGCUGACAAUUCACACACAUUCCUCAUCAGUUCCCCCUCUUCACAGGCUGUGUUUUGGCACAUUCUUACCUCUUCUAGCACAGCAAUUUCUGCUGUCUUUCCUUGCUCUGGUCUUGUACCACAUAACCCCACUUCUGAAAAGAUGCUUCAUGCAUUUACUCUGUAGUCUUCCCAGGCUUACUAAAGCCACACAUUGCCAACAGCCUCCCCUUUAGCUGGGAGUUCAACGACACUGAGUAUUCUGCAGCAAUAAGAUACUUCUACAUUUACUUUGUCCUUUCCUGAACCUGUGGCUGUUACAGUAACAUGCAGAACGGAGAGCUCUCAGCUUUCUCCCUCAGCACACAAAUACAAACUACACCACUAUAAUCAGAACAACAUUAGUAUGCAGAACAAAGUGAUUUGCAAGCUGGAGAAAACAAGUUUCAUGGUCAUUGGCUUCCUCUAAAAAUGAAUUAAGGGCAUAGGCUGUAUGUUUGAUAAAGCAACCAUGCCAGCUAAUUUCCUCUCAAGUCUUCUAAAAAUACUGCAAUUGUUAUGUGAGCAGCAAAGAGCCUUAAAUCAACCUGCCUGCAGUUUUCAUACUACAGUGCAAGGCAGCUGGCUGCUUCAAUAGGUUCAGGCUCAAAAACCUGAGGCCAUACCAAAAAAACCCUAUCAAUUGCUUUUCUAGAUGAACAAAAUGCUGCUACCCUAAAUAAUACUCUGGUCAGUCCUGUAGUGCAAUGAACAAACGCAGUACUAUGUAGGUCUCACAUCAGCACUCAGGUUAAUCUCAAUGCUCUUUACAAAAGGCCAGCACUACCACCAUUUCCAGUGACACUCCUUUGAGGGAGCCUGGCUGCCACGCUCCCAAAUUACACACACACAGUCACCACUCGGGAGAGGCUGAUUCAUCUUCACAUUCCCAUGCAUGCAAGCAUUACAGAUGAUUAGCUCAAGCUGGGAAACAGGCAUGGACUGCUAUAUUCUACUAUCAAUGGACCUAUUAAACAAACCUGACUUGAUCUCACACCUGCUGAAUCAGGACAGGCAACCAGUUACACAAGAAUUCACAGAAACCAGCACACAAACAGCCCAGACAGCUCUCUCCACAUUCACAGAUAUCCUGGUUGAUGACCAGUACUGAAGGAAUAGCAUCUUUAAAUAGAGAUGUCUGUUCUAAAUGUUUCUAUUAAACUGUAAUAAUCAUCCAGACAUUUUUGGCAUAGUCUGAUAUGCUCCUUAUGACACAUUUCUGAACAAAUGUGCAAGAAAAGUGUUCAAGUCUAUUUCAGCACACAGACACUUCAGUGCCUUCAUCAGGCAGAUGCAACUGACACUUCACUGCCAGUGACUAAACUCACUUUAAUCACUUAUCAAAGAUCAAAACCCCAACAAGCACCUGCCUUGACACUUGCUGAAGAAAGGCUCCACAGCCCUGGCAAGAUCUUGAAGUAUAUCACACACUUAAAAAAUCAGCAAGAAAUCAGCAAUAAAGCACUGAUUUUGCUGCAUGCUCUGCUCUAAGAGGUGGAAAGAACAAGCCUCUCAUCUUAUGCUCAAAAUGAGUGAACUCGACCCUCAAAAUCUCCACCAUCCUGUGAAUCUCCAAGUAAACUAUCAGCUCUCUGGAGUAACUUUCAAACAAUGAAACAAAGCUUCAACUACUCAGACACAUGUAAUAGCAAGCUAUCUAGAUACUCAUACUUUUACUUGUAACCAUGUCUCUGGGAUGCUCUACUUGUACUUUAUGCAUUAUAUCCUUAGAGCAGGAUCACUCACUGAAGCACUUUUACUGUAGCUCCUACCUGAAACUAAACAGCUUUCUGUGUACCCUUAAAAUUCUUGGUUGGGCAUAAAAGAGAAGUCAAAAAAGAAACAACACAAACCAUGAUCAAUUAGACCAACCAUUAAGAAAGAACAUCAGCCACAUGGAUAUAAUUCCACUUUGAUUUAGGGUGCUAUCUAAUAGGUUUAUUACAAGCUUCAACAGACUAUAGCUCCAGACUUUAUCUUUCUUGGAAGACACUACAAUAGAAGCCACAGUAGAGACUGCCUUGUCACGACAGGUACAAAUACUUGCUGUAUAGAUGGAGAAAUAAAAGGACAAAUCUAGUUGUCUAAAAGACAAUUCACUGUACACAUUUUAUUUACAGUUUUGUACACUGUCUUAGUAUGAAUGGGACUGCUUUUCUACUUGAGCCAUUUUAACCAAAGCAAAAUAACCUAAGUAAUACAAAGUGUUAAAAUACAGCAUAAGAUACAAAAACAGACAUACUAUUUCUAGUAAGGAAUGUAAAUUAUGGUGUUACAUU